rnacentral:rRNA from 1 species
UCCUACGGGUGGCUGCAGUGGGGAAUAUUGGACAAUGGGCGAAAGCCUGAUCCAGCCAUGCCGCGUGUGUGAAGAAGGUCUUCGGAUUGUAAAGCACUUUAAGUUGGGAGGAAGAGCAGUAAGCUAAUACCUUGCUGUUUGACGUUACCAACAGAAUAAGCACCGGCUAACUCUGUGCCAGCAGCCGCGGUAAUACAGAGGGUGCAAGCGUUAAUCGGAAUUACUGGGCGUAAAGCGCGCGUAGGUGGUUCAGCAAGUUGGAUGUGAAAGCCCCGGGCUCAACCUGGGAACUGCAUCCAAAACUACUGAGCUAGAGUACGGUAGAGGGUGGUGGAAUUUCCUGUGUAGCGGUGAAAUGCGUAGAUAUAGGAAGGAACACCAGUGGCGAAGGCGACCACCUGGACUGAUACUGACACUGAGGUGCGAAAGCGUGGGGAGCAAACAGGAUUAGAUACCCCAGUAGUCCA